UAUCUUUGUCACCGCUUAGGUGAUACACCCGUUGUUCCAACGAGUUGUAUAAAAGGGAAUCCGGUGCGAAGCCGGAACAGUGCCCGCUACUGUAAAGCCACUUUGCCCCGUCCGCUUACCGCGGCAACGGAGCAUACGGAAAACAUUCUUCAAAACGAUGCCACUGUCUUACAGACGGCUGCCGAUAGCAAGCGCCGGUUCGGGCGCAUCGCAGUCCGGGGGACGGGAAGGUGUGGUUUUCCGCAGGGCUGAGUCAGGAAACCUGCCUUGGCGAUUACACAGUC
rnacentral:ncRNA from 2 species